AGCUCAUAGAUGUCUUCUGAAAUGUGGAAGAAAUACUUUCGUUUGUCAUAAAACCUCAGCAGGAGAUUGGAGUCUGGAAGAGGGAGGGGAGAAGAGGAGGACCUCAGGGAGAUUGUUUUGCUUAUUGGUGUUUAAUUAAAAACCAAACAACUUUUCCUAUUAACUUGAUGCUACUUAUUAAUUGAAAUGAGGAGACUGACUCUGGAUAUUGGGAAAAUUUAUGUCUGGAAUAGCAAAUUGACCUCAAAAGAUAUAUUUUGAUCAGGAUGAAUUCCAAAGCUGAAAUUAGUUGUUCUCUGAGUUCAGAGUUUUAGAUUAAACAUCUCUCUCUUGAUAUAUAUAUCUAUGGGCACAUACAGAGGAAAAGACAUGUGGGGACAUAAUGAGAGGACAGCCAUCUGCAAGCCAAGAAGAGAAUCCUCACCAGAAACCAACUUGACUGGAAUCUUGAUCUUGAACUUCUUGCUUCCAGAAUUAUGAGAAAAUAAAUUGUUGUUUAACCCACA
rnacentral:lncRNA from 1 species